UCCAUGCGACCCUCGGCGCAUAGGACAGAAUGAAAAGCUGCAUUGGAAAACAAAGACAAAAUUAGUAACCAAGGCAAGACAAAACAAAAUAACAAAACACAUUAAUGAAGGCGGUUUUAAUAAAAGCAAAAAGGUAGGCUACAUGCUUCAAGAAAGUAAUUAAAACAAUAGAUGCCCAUUCAAAGGCCUAAUCACAUACAUGUUCAAUUGUUCAUGUAUUAAAGAGGGUCAAUGCCAUUACUUUUUAGCUAGAGUUGACAACUGAACAUGAUAAUGCGUUUAUGGUAAACCAAUGUGCAGCAGCAAAAGCCAUACUUCCAAAGAAUGUGACAAUUCUU
rnacentral:lncRNA from 1 species